UACUUUCUGCAGUAGCGAGUUGAUUAUUAGAUCGAGACGACCGUACAGCGCGCGUCUAAUAAUCGCGUCUGGAGUAUCGAGACGAUCAUAGGAACCGAUGAGGGCUCCAUCUCCAGCAGCAAAUUUGUCUGGACUAUUACUGUACCCUACAAAAACAGCAGCACCGGUUGACUAUCCAGUAGCUCCUUCCGAGAUCACUUCGGAACACCAAGUUAGUAACCGACAUUCUAUUAACAGAUGGUUGGCAAAGUAAUGAACACCAUUACUGUAACUGGAAGUGUUCUCCAAGCAUCUCGCCAGCAGUAGUGGUUUACAAACCAGGUUCCUAAAAAGUCCGUCCUUCCUGAGCUCACGGAAAACCAAGCCAUUCAUCAUUCAUUCAACACCGAGUCAUAAAUUAUCGUCCUAUUAACAGUAACUUGAUGCCCCCAUAUGACAACGCUCGCUUCUACAAAACAGAAAACUCAUUUCGAGUAGGUCGCCGGACAAUAUAGUGAAAACUUUCGUAUUACAAAAGAGGAUGACGGCGAAUAUACGAUCGAGAAUAAAGCGGCACCGACUGCGAUAUUCCAACUAGUAGAAGCUACAGUUUUUAAACCAACUGAUGCGUUAAUUUUUAAACGAAGGAAUGUGUAAAUCUUAUAGUUUUUACCAAAUUUGUUUUAUUCUCUUUAAUUCCGUCUGGAAUGUGGUCUCCUUCAGAAGGUCGAAAUAAACCAAUGAAAGGUUUUUUAUAAUUCCAUCGUUGAUUCGUUGAAGCAAAACAAUGCUUCUUGAAUUGGGUUUCGAUCCGAUAAGGGAAAUCGGAUUCCGGACGGAAAUGGCCAUUAUGAGCUGGGCGAGCUCGUGGUUCAUUCAUCGCCGCCACACACCGUCUUCUUGCACGCCGCCAAAGAUGGUCCUAAGC